CCAUACACAAGGCAGAAGAUCUGUGGUGCCACGACUGGCACCAGGACAGCAGGCUCCUGGGCUAUAAACACAGCCAGGGUGGGGGAGGUCUUUGGAAAAUUCUUCUCUGAGGGGCAGAGAAGAUCCUUCCUCCAGACAGCAAUGCUGGCGAUCCACGACCCCCUGCUGCGUGUCAGCCAGGCUGGGCUGCUCCUCACAUACUCCAUCCUGGGGGAAGACCAGCAGCUGCUGGGGGACAAGCUGGAGGAUGUCACAGCCAAGGUGAUGUGCCAGCUCCGCAUCAUCCGGCACUUGCACCAGGUGCCUGAGGCGCUGCAAGGGCUGCGCCUCAUCUGAUGCCCUUAAAGGUUCCCCUCCCAUGUUCAGCAACU